rnacentral:piRNA from 1 species
UGAUAUUAAUCCGCUCGAUUCAUCGAC